rnacentral:rRNA from 1 species
UGGGGAAUAUUGGACAAUGGGCGCAAGCCUGAUCCAGCCAUGCCGCGUGAGUGAUGAAGGCCCUAGGGUUGUAAAGCUCUUUCACCGGUGAAGAUAAUGACGGUAACCGGAGAAGAAGCCCCGGCUAACUUCGUGCCAGCAGCCGCGGUAAUACGAAGGGGGCUAGCGUUGUUCGGAUUUACUGGGCGUAAAGCGCACGUAGGUGGACUUUUAAGUCAGGGGUGAAAUCCCGGGGCUCAACCCCGGAACUGCCUUUGAUACUGGAAGUCUUGAGUAUGGUAGAGGUGAGUGGAAUUCCGAGUGUAGAGGUGAAAUUCGUAGAUAUUCGGCGGAACACCAGUGGCGAAGGCGGCUCACUGGACCAUUACUGACGCUGAGGUGCGAAAGCGUGGGGAGCAAACAGG